rnacentral:rRNA from 1 species
AUGAGUGGCGAACGGGUGAGUAACACGUGAGUAACCUGCCCUCUUCUUUGGGAUAACGCCCGGAAACGGGUGCUAAUACUGGAUAUUCACUGAUCUUCGCAUGGGGGUUGGUGGAAAGGUUUUUUCUGGUGGGGGAUGGGCUCGCGGCCUAUCAGCUUGUUGGUGGGGUGAUGGCCUACCAAGGCUUUGACGGGUAGCCGGUCUGAGAGGGUGACCGGUCACAUUGGGACUGAGAUACGGCCCAG